AACGGCUGGCGGCGAGGCCUAACACAUGCAGUACGACGGUAGCACAGAGAGCUUGCGUCUCGGGUGGACGGAGUGGCGGACGGGUGAGGUAAUGUCUGGGAAACUGCCCGAUGGAGGGGAGUAACUACUGGAAACGGUAGCUAAUACCGCAUAACGCUUCGGACCAAAGUGGGGGACCUUCGGGCCUCACACCAUCGGAUGUGCCCAGAUGGGAUUAGCUAGUAGGUGGGGUAAUGGCUCACCUAGGCGACGAUCCCUAGCUGGUCUGAGAGGAUGACCAGCCACACUGGAACUGAGACACGGUCCAGACUCCUACGGGAGGCAGCAGUGGGGAAUAUUGCACAAUGGGCGCAAGCCUGAUGCAGCCAUGCCGCGUGUAUGAAGAAGGCCUUCGGGUUGUAAAGUACUUUCAGUGGGGAGGAAGGCGAUGAAGUUAAUAACUUCGUCGAUUGACGUUACCCGCAGAAGAAGCACCGGCUAACUCCGUG
rnacentral:rRNA from 1 species